rnacentral:misc_RNA from 1 species
GAUGAAGAACGUAGCGAAAUGCGAUACGUAAUGUGAAUUGCAAAUUCAGUGAAUCACCGAGUCUUUGAACGCACAUUGCGCCCCCUGGUAUUCCGGGGGGCAUGCCUGUCCGAGCGUCAUUGCUGCCCUCAAGCACGGCUUGUGUGUUGGGCCCCGUCCUCCGAUCCCGGGGGACGGGCCCGAAAGGCAGCGGCGGCACCGCGUCCGGUCCUCGAGCGUAUGGGGCUUUGUCACCCGCUCUGUAGGCCCGGCCGGCGCUUGCCGAUCAACCCAAAUUUUUAUCCAGGUUGACCUCGGAUCAGGUAGGGAUACCCGCUGAACUUAAGCAUAUCAAUAAGCGGAGGA